CGCCGUCUCUUUCAUAUUUUUUUACGUAAAGGCGGUUAUACCACUCUAAUAUAAAUAUAAUUUAAAAAAUUUAAAAAUAAAAAAUCCAUAGGGCAAACGUUGCAAUAUGAUAAGAUUCAAUCUUUAAUAUGCUUAGCAAUAAAAGAUAUAAUUUAACUUGUCAUGCUAUUCAUUUUUCAAAAAAUAUGUCAAAAAGAUACUACGAUGGAAUGAUGAAAGGA
rnacentral:lncRNA from 1 species